GUCUACGGCCAUACCACCCUGAACGUGCCCGAUCUCGUCUGAUCUCGGAAGCUAAGCAGGGUCGGGCCUGGUUAGUACUUGGAUAGGAAAUGAAUAUUUUUAAAAUGUGUUAGAGGAUUUCAGCAUCCAUGCU
rnacentral:rRNA from 1 species